rnacentral:rRNA from 1 species
CGGGUGAGUAACACGUGGAUAACCUACCUAUAAGACUGGGAUAACUUCGGGAAACCGGAGUUAAUACCGGAUAAUAUAUUGAACCGCAUGGUUCAAUAGUGAAAGACGGUUUUGCUGUCACUUAUAGAUGGAUCCGCGCCGCAUUAGCUAGUUGGUAAGGUAACGGCUUACCAAGGCAACGAUGCGUAGCCGACCUGAGAGGGUGAUCGGCCACACUGGAACUGAGACACGGUCCAG